AUUGAACGCUGGCGGCAGGCUUAACACAUGCAAGUCGAACGAGUGGCGGACGGGUGAGUAAUGCCUGGGAAACUGCCUGAUGGAGGGGGAUAACUACUGGAAACGGUAGCUAAUACCGCAUACCAUCGGAUGUGCCCAGAUGGGAUUAGCUAGUAGGUGGGGUAAAGGCGCACCUAGGCGACGAUCCCUAGCUGGUCUGAGAGGAUGACCAGCCACACUGGAACUGAGACACGGUCCAGACUCCUACGGGAGGCAGCAGUGGGGAAUAUUGCACAAUGGGCGCAAGCCUGAUGCAGCCAUGCCGCGUGUAUGAAGAAGGCCUUCGGGUUGUAAAGUUCUUUCAGCGGGGAGGCGUUACACGCAGAAGAAGCACCGGCUAACUCCGUGCCAGCAGCCGCGGUAAUAC
rnacentral:rRNA from 1 species